rnacentral:rRNA from 1 species
UAUAGAGGGUGCAAGCGUUAAUCGGAAUUACUGGGCGUAAAGCGUGCGUAGACGGUAGCGUAAGUCGGGUGUGAAAGCCCCGGGCUCAACCUGGGAAUUGCACUCGAGACUGCUCUGCUAGGGUGCGGAAGAGGGAAGCGGAAUUUCCGGUGUAGCGGUGAAAUGCGUAGAUAUCGGAAGGAACACCAGUGGCGAAAGCGGCUUCCUGGUCCAGCACCGACGUUCAGGCACGAAAGCGUGGGGAGCAAACAGG